GUCACCCUUUCUGAAAUUCUUUUCCGCGCUGAACUCAGCAGUUGAAUUGUGGAGGUCCUAUUGUGUGCCUCAAAAAAGGGUAACUAUUCGAUUAUGUUUUUACAAGAUAGUUUAACUUGAAAUCAGGAACUAUAUACAGGUAUCAAAUAAAAACGUUAACAUUUUGCUUGGUGGCCAGCUUUGGUAUUAAUAUCUGACUUGCGUGUAACGCUAUGGUGCAUGCGUGGCCUGCCAUGUGUGCAAGAAUUUGCUAACACUAACUACUAUAGCUUGGCUACAUCUUUCACACAACAGCCGACUUUCAUUUUUACUUUACUUCAGAAUCAACACAUUCUAAAUAUAUAAGUAAAUUGUCUGGAAUUUAAUCCGUGUCUGAUGUGAUGAAGAACAUGUUGGUAGGGACAUCUGAGACCUCUGAGGAAACGCCAACUUUACUGACAAGACAUGGAUUGGAUUUGAAUUCUUCAUUCCACUAAGACUUUGCCUGUGAUAUCUAACCGUCCCUCUAAACCAGUGGUCACCAAACUACGGCCCGCGGGCCGGAUACGGCCCGUCAGCACAUUUGGCCCGGCCCUCUGAACAAUACCAGAGACGCUAUCAAAUUUUUUUCCUAUUUGGCCUCCAGAAAAAAAAUCCUAGGCCCGGCCCUGUCAAAGAGAGAACGGAAUAAUGGCGAAAAGGUUAGGUAAGAGAGAAAUUGAUUCAGAAUGCAGGGUAUUUAACCUGCAGUGGACAAACAAUUUUUUUUUUGUUCAAUGCAAAGAAAAGGCUGUUUGUCUCAUCUGUCAAGAGACUGUGGCGGUAUUCAAAGAAUGCAAUCUUCGCCGACACUAUGAAUCCCGUCACAAAGACAAGUACGAUAGCUUGCAAGGCCAAAUACGAGCAGACAAACUCUCAAAGCUAAAAAGUGGACUACUAUCUCAGCAGAAUACAUUUGUACGCCAAGCUCAGCUGAACCAGGCAUCCGUUCGGGCCAGCUUUCGGGUUGCUAAACUGAUAGCAAGAAGCGGUAAGCCUUUCACUGACGGAGAGUUUGUUAAGAAAUGUAUGGAUGCUGUCGCGGAGGAGGUGUGUCCCGAGAAGAAAGAUGCAUUUAAUGCCGUAAGUCUGUCGGCGAGUACAAUCACCAGAAAGAAAUCGGGAGUAAUGUAUAUGCCCAGCUGCAGCAGAAGACGAAAGAAUUUGACUUUUUUUCAUUAGCACUGGAUGAGAGCACGGACGUGCAAGACACAGCGCAACUGCUCAUUUUUAUUCGUGGAGUUAGCGCAAACUUUGAGAUAUGCGAGGAGCUGGCAGCCCUCCAAAGUCUCAAAGGGACUACAACGGGAGAGGAUAUUUUUGACAAAGUGUGCCAAACCAUGGAGAAGUUGGACCUGGACUGGUCAAAGCUAGCUAGCAUCACGACUGACGGGGCUCCUAGCAUGGUGGGCGAAACUCGCGGUCUAAUAGGACUCAUGAACCGGGAGUUGGAAAAAAGGGGUCUCACCGCCCCGCUACGAGUCCACUGCCUAAUUCACCAGCAAGCACUGUGCUGCAAAGUGUUGAAGUGGGAUUCUGUAAUGAAGGUUGUGGUGUCGUGCAUAAACUUCAUCAGAGCAAAGGGACUUAAAAACAGGCAGUUCCAAGAAUUCCUGUCUGAACUGGAGUCUACGCACGGAGAUGUGCUGUACUACACAGAGGUCCGAUGGCUGAGCCGGGGCAGAGUUUUGAGGCGUUUUUACGAGCUGCUACCCGAAAUUAACGCAUUUCUUCAUUUAAAAGACAAAACGGUCCCAGAGCUGAUCGACCCAGAAUGGAAAUGGCACCUCGCAUUUUUAACAGACGUGACAGAAAUACUUAACAGCCUUAACUUGCAGCUACAAGGCGAGGGGAAACUCAUUUGCGACAUGUAUUCACACAUAAAAGCAUUUGAGGUGAAAUUAGCGCUGCUUUUGGAACAAGUGAAAAAGCGCAACUUCGUCCAUCUUCCUGCUACCCAAAACCUGUCGACAGAGAACCCAGCGGUCCCGUUCCCAGCUGAAAAGUGCGUGGAAGCACUGGAAAUGCUGAAGGCGGAGUUCGGUGUGCGAUUCCGUGAACUACAUGUUCAUGCAAAAGAAAUCCGUCUUUUUCAGAACCCCUUUGUUGCCGACAUUGAUGAAGCCCAGCCUUCAUAUCAGUUUGAGUUGGCUGAGUUACAGAACUGUGAUGUUCUGAAAGACUCAUUCAAGCCCAACAGUCUCAUUGACUUCUAUGCCGCCCUCCCAAACGACACAUAUCCAAACAUCAAAAAACACGCAAUGAAAAUGUCCACAGUUUUUGGCAGCACGUAUAUCUGCGAGAAAACCUUUUCUCGCAUGAAACUGCUGAAAACCCUGAUGAGAUCAAUAUUGACAGAUUAACAUUUGCAUCAGUGCUUGAGACUGGCUGUAACUAGAAUGGAACCUGAUAUUCAACUUCUCACCAGCCAGAUGCAGGCCCACAGUUCACACUGAUGAACAUACAUAGGGAAGUUGAUGAGAGAGAGCUGCAAACAGCGGUGUCUACAAGCCUACUGGAACCUACAAAAGGAUUAUAAGGAAGGAACACAAGAACUUUAAGAGACUGCUCAUAUGUGUCAGAGAUUCUGCUCUGACAACUGAGCUGAACUUUUAUCUGUUAAGAUUUUUUUUCUAUGAAGAACCCAGGCUUUUUUUUCUAUGAAGAACCCAGAGUUAUUUAGUUAUUUAUUUCAUUAAUAGUGUUAUUUGUUUCCUGACUUUUUUUCUGUAAAGAACCUGGAAAGGGUUAUUUGGUUAUGUGUGGCUUUCUGGAAAACAAUACAUUUUUUAAGCUCCCCUACGAUCGUCACACUUUUUCUGUUACAAACUGACACCGGCCCCCCAUCAGAGAAGGGAAAAGUUAUGUGGCCCUCACAGGAAAAAGUUUGGGGACCCCUGCUCUAAUCUUUCAGAUUAUGAAGUACAACACGCGUGAUCCUGGAUGACUAAUGUAUCUGCCUAAUGGUUUACAAUCAGCGUAACUUCUUGCUGACCCUGAGAAACCAGGAGAUUGCUCAAUCCUGGUUUGCCUCCAGCGGGAAUGCCAUGGUCUGAACUUCCAGACAUAAUGAUCAAGGAACCAUUGAUGGUGGUAUGCCUGAAGUUGGGGUCACAUGGGUGGAACCUUUAGUGACUCCUAACAGUUGCUGGUAUGGUGAGAUGGGAAUGUGACUGAUCCUGGUUCUCUGUGUAAAAAUCGUGACAAGAUGAACUAAAAGUUCUAAGGGGGUGUUGGAAGAUGAGGUGAAUAUGCAGUAAAUUCCCUCGCCACGUGAGAAUCAACUGAGUGGUGUUUGGUCAGUGGGGGGGGUGAAGGAACUGUCAUUUACCACUGACCUACAGUUGUCCUGAAGAAAGCAGUGCAUCACCGGCUUGAAUUUAUCAUUUAGCAAUUUGUUUGAUGUGUUUAUUUUUUUUAUUAAAAAGCUUCAUUAAACUGUACAUGUGUUCUAAUUUUAGCUUGGCAAAUAAAACCAGUAAGUGUAACUUCAUUGUCCUGAACCAAUAAAGGGAUUUGUACAUAA